rnacentral:rRNA from 1 species
CUAACGCGUUAAGCACUCCGCCUGGGGACUACGGUCGCAAGACUAAAACUCAAAGGAAUUGACGGGGACCCGCACAAGCGGUGGAGCAUGUGGUUUAAUUCGAUGCAACGCGAAAAACCUUACCACUUCUUGACAUGGAGGCUAGAUCCUUCUUAACAGAAGGGCGCAGUUCGGCUGGGCCUCGCACAGGUGCUGCAUGGCUGUCGUCAGCUCGUGUCGUGAGAUGUUGGGUUAAGUCCCGCAACGAGCGCAACCCUCAUCCUUAGUUACCAGCGGGUAAUGCCGGGCACUUUAAGGAAACUGCCAGUGAUAAACUGGAGGAAGGUGGGGAUGAUGUCAAGUCAGCACGGCCCUUAUGGGGUGGGCUACACACGUGCUACAAUGGCGACUACAAUAG